GCGCACCAGGCGCGAAACUUUACAAUGUACGAAAGCACGAUAAGGGAACUCUGAGUGCCUCCUAAGGAGGCUGUUCAGGUGUCUAAAAGCACCUGAAGGAAGGGCUGGGUAAGACCGGUGCCAGCCGCCGCGGUAACACCGGCAGCCCAAGUGGUAGCCACGUUUAUUGGGUCUAAAGCGUCCGUAGCCGGCUGGGUAAGUUCCUUGGGAAAUUUGGCUGCUUAACAGUCAAGCUUUCAGGGAAUACUGCCCGGCUUGGGACCGGGAGAGGUCAGAGGUACUCCAGGGGUAGGGGUGAAAUCCAUUAAUCCUUGGGGGACCACCGGUAGCGAAGGCGUCUGACCAGACCGGGUCCGACGGUGAGGGACGAAGGCUAGGGGCGCGAACCGGAUUAGAUACCCCUGUAGU
rnacentral:rRNA from 1 species